AUUAAACGCUGGCGGCAUGCCUUACACAUGCAAGUCGAACGGCAGCACGGGGGCAACCCUGGUGGCGAGUGGCGGACGGGUGAGUAAUGCAUCGGAACGUGCCCUGAAGUGGGGGGAUAACGCAGCGAAAGCUACGCUAAUACCGCAUAUUCUGUGAGCAGGAAAGCAGGGGAUCGCAAGACCUUGCGCUUUGGGAGCGGCCGAUGUCGGAUUAGCUAGUUGGUGGGGUAAAGGCCUACCAAGGCGACGAUCCGUAGCGGGUCUGAGAGGAUGAUCCGCCACACUGGGACUGAGACACGGCCCAGACUCCUACGGGAGGCAGCAGUGGGGAAUUUUGGACAAUGGGCGGAAGCCUGAUCCAGCCAUGCCGCGUGAGUGAAGAAGGCCUCGGGUUGUAAAGCUCUUUCGGUCGGGGAAGGAAAUUGCUUCGGUUAAUACCUGGAGUAGAUGA
rnacentral:rRNA from 1 species